GAUGAACGCUGGCGGCGUGCUUAACACAUGCAAGUCGAACGCGCAUCCCCUGAACUUCGGUGAGGGGGAGGGCAAGUGGCGAACGGGUGAGUAACACGUAGGAACCUGCCCUGGAGUGGGGGAAAACGGCUGGAAACGGUCGCUAAUCCCGCAUAGUCUCCUUCGGGAGUAAAGCUUUAGCGCUUCAGGAAGGGCCUGCGGCCUAUCAGGUAGUUGGUGGGGUAAAGGCCUACCAAGCCGAUGACGGGUAGGGGGCGUGAGAGCGCGACCCCCCACACGGGAACUGAGACACGGUCCCGACGCCUACGGGCGGCAGCAGUGAGGAAUCUUGCGCAAUGGGGGAAACCCUGACGCAGCGACGCCGCGUGCGGGAAGAAGGCCUUCGGGUCGUAAACCGCUUUUCUGUGGGACGAGGAAGGACGGUACCACAGGAAUAAGUCCCGGCUAACUACGUG
rnacentral:rRNA from 1 species